rnacentral:rRNA from 1 species
UUUAUGGAGAGUUUGAUCCUGGCUCAGGAUGAACGCUGGCGGCGUGCCUAAUACAUGCAAGUCGAGCGAACAGACGAGGAGCUUGCUCCUCUGACGUUAGCGGCGGACGGGUGAGUAACACGUGGAUAACCUACCUAUAAGACUGGGAUAACUUCGGGAAACCGGAGCUAAUACCGGAUAACAUGUUGAACCGCAUGGUUCAACAGUGAAAGACGGUCUUGCUGUCACUUAUAGAUGGAUCCGCGCCGCAUUAGCUAGUUGGUAAGGUAACGGCUUACCAAGGCAACGAUGCGUAGCCGACCUGAGAGGGUGAUCGGCCACACUGGAACUGAGACACGGUCCACACGG